GAUGAACGCUGGCGGCGUGCCUAACACAUGCAAGUCGAGCGAUUCUCUUCGGAGAAGAGCGGCGGACGGGUGAGUAACGCGUGGGUAACCUGCCUCAUACACAUGGAUAACAUACCGAAAGGUAUGCUAAUACAAGAUGAUAUAAGAGAUUCGCAUGGAUUUCUUAUCAAAGCUCCGGCGGUAUGAGAUGGACCCGCGUCUGAUUAGCUAGUUGGUAAGGUAACGGCUUACCAAGGCGACGAUCAGUAGCCGACCUGAGAGGGUGAUCGGCCACAUUGGAACUGAGACACGGUCCAAACUCCUACGGGAGGCAGCAGUGGGGAAUAUUGCACAAUGGGCGAAAGCCUGAUGCAGCAACGCCGCGUGAGUGAUGAAGGCCUUCGGGUCGUAAAACUCUGUCCUCAAGGAAGAUAAUGACGGUACUUGAGGAGGAAGCCCCGGCUAACUACGUGCCCAGCAGCCGCGGUAAAAUAGACGUACUCCG
rnacentral:rRNA from 1 species